rnacentral:rRNA from 1 species
GACGAACGCUGGCGGCGUGCCUAAUACAUGCAAGUUGAGCGCUGAAGGUUGGUACUUGUACCAACUGGAUGAGCAGCGAACGGGUGAGUAACGCGUGGGGAAUCUGCCUUUGAGCGGGGGACAACAUUUGGAAACGAAUGCCAAUACCGCAUAAAAACUUUAAACACAAGUUUUAAGUUUGAAAGAUGCAAUUGCAUCACUCAAAGAUGAUCCCGCGUUGUAUUAGCUAGUUGGUGAGGUAAAGGCUCACCAAGGCGAUGAUACAUAGCCGACCUGAGAGGGUGAUCGGCCACAUUGGGACUGAGACACGGCCCAAACUCCUACGGGAGGCAGCAGUAGGGAAUCUUCGGCAAUGGACGAAAGUCUGACCGAGCAACGCCGCGUGAGUGAAGAAGGUUUUCGGAUCGCAAAACUCUGUUGGUAGAGAAGAACGUUGGUGAGAGUGGAAAGCUCAUCAAGUGACGGUAACUACCCAGAAAGGGACGGCUAACUACGUG